rnacentral:lncRNA from 1 species
GAGUUGCAGAGGGAAUUGUUUUCCCAAAACGUGAUGGCGGAAACGUUGCUUGCCGAUCGACAAGUGAGAUCUAGCGCCACCCUUUGAUCAGUAUUUCAAGGUCUCAAUCGGUAGCCUCGUUCCGACCUGCACGGGUUUCUGGCCAAGAGAGAGAGAGAGAGUCGUCGGCGAAGUUUAGCGUUCGGCUGCGGUGCAGCAGUUUUGGUGAUGCGUCGGAGGCGGCGACAUUCGAGUUAAGAGGCAACGUUGCCCCCGACGGUAGUUGGGAGGCUCGGUGACGGUUCAUGGAGCACAUAGGAGGGAGAAGCUGAUUCACCGGAACCUUGUUCGAAAACUAGGCAGAGGUUGCCGACAGUGAGGGCCUCGCCGAAGAAGAAGAGGGAUUAAACUGCAAGUCUCGAAAGUUAAGUGACUGAUCUAUGAGUCUGGUUAUUCUUAAGUCUUGCUUCCGUAGUUCUGAACUUUUGGAUGGUUUAUAGUUAAGGAGUUGGGUUAGAUUUUUCAACGACUGGAAGUUUCAGAAUUGUUGCAAAGAAGUAAAUGAAGCAUAACUCGAUCGUUUGAGCUCCAAACGACGCACGGUCAGAAGCUACGGACUCGUGGCAAUGAGAG